AUAAAAUGGGGCAUCAGAGAGUACGAUGGGGAAACUGAGAUUGGUGGUUUUCGGUAUGAGAGGAAAGUGUUAGCUUCUGAUCGUAUUGGAAAUGGGAAAGAUGAUAAGGGUUCAUGUGGAUAUUAAGCACUAAGACAUAGCUUAGGUAUACGAGGGCUUAAAAUUGAAGCUGGGUGGGUUCCUUUCAUUUCCGCAAGUGAAAACUACCGACAAACCCAUUUUUCUAUUUCUCUCCCCUGAAAAAUCCACGUUCAGAAAAAGUCACGGGUGCACUCAUUUUUUCUGAGAAAAUUUCUCCCAGACCCGUAUUUUAUAAAAUUAUGUUCCAUUUUUUUUCUUCUUCUCUUCUCUGAUUCGUCUUGUUCUUCCUCUUUACUCUACUGUGACCUCCCUACGAGUAAAAUUAACCAUAGGGAAAACCCUAGAAAUCAGAAGCAAAUCAUAACCCUAGAAAUCAGAAGCAAAUCAUCUUCACGGAAAGAGAAGAAGGUUAUCACAUCCGCAACAGGAGAAAGUUCGGAUUUGAGACUAGAUGUGGGUUUAGCGCCUUCAAAUAAUGGCACAAAAAUACUUUCUCAAGAUGCACAGGGGAAGUUAGUUAGCAAUGGCAAGGUAAUCUCAAUUUCAAUAGUUAAAUAUUUUGUGAUUCUUUACAUUACAUAAAUUGUGGAUGAAACUCCACAAUCUAUUUACAUCUUUGAGUUGAAUGGUCCAAUCUCAAUUUCAAUAGUUAAAUAUUUUGUGAUUCUUUACAUUACAUAAAUUGUGGAUGAAACUCCACAAUCUAUUUACAUCUUUGAGUUGAAUGGUCUUUUGUAUAAGUACUAAAAUGUCAAUGAUCAAAACUCAACCAAGGUUGAUGACAAACCAAGACAGGGACAGAACUGAGAAGUUGAUCAUCAUAUGUAUUGUGUGUCGUGACAUAAUAAAUUAAGAAACUAAUUACAUAUUUUCUUAAGUAAUUAGCUCAAUGUGUGGAAUUAUCAUGCACCAUGGCUGUCUUGUCAUUCUGAAUGAGAUUAGGAUGGCCAUGGCAUUUUGCUGCUGGAUGUAUGUGAGUAUAGUACUAACAACUUGACUAUGUGAAAACCACAAUAUGAUAAAAGUGAAAAUUACAAGAGCUGGCAUUUUGCUGGUGUACAUGUAUUUUCUUAAAAUAACCUUAAGAAUUUGCUUGCAAGAGCUGUAAGCAUAAGUUUUGGUUCGGUAUGUCUCUAAAUCAACAUGUUUGGUUCGGUAUCUCUCUACAAGUGGUUUCAAGCACUCAUAAAUAAACAUGACCAUCAUUAAAGUAAUAUUACUAUUAAUAUUGUGGGAAGCCAAAAUAAAUACAGAAAGACUUGGUGAUGUCAUGGUAUUGCAGACUAUUGAGCUGAAUUGCAGGUGGAAUCUGGUGUUUUGAGCACAAGUUGAAGCGGAUGGAGAAUGAGUUUUUUUACCGCAGUAAAUGGGGAUGACAAUACUCAUGGAGAAUGGUAAUGCCGAGGAGAUUCUGCGCUAAUAUUCAGCUGUUGUUGCUAUGGAUUAUGGUGUAUGUUGAUUAUUUACGUAUUGAUUGAGCGAGAACAAAUAGCUUCUUCUCAUAUUUUUCAAGUGUGUCUCGAUGCUGCCCUUUAUCAUUCUCGGUAUUGUUGAAUUCUUUUAUGCAGCUAAGAAAAUGGUUGCAUAGUCUAUUAUGCAUCUACAAAA